GAUGAACGCUGGCGGCGUGCCUAAUACAUGCAAGUCGAGCGAACAGACGAGGAGCUUGCUCCUCUGACGUUAGCGGCGGACGGGUGAGUAACACGUGGAUAACCUACCUAUAAGACUGGGAUAACUUCGGGAAACCGGAGCUAAUACCGGAUAAUAUAUUGAACCGCAUGGUUCAAUAGUGAAAGACGGUUUUGCUGUCACUUAUAGAUGGAUCCGCGCCGCAUUAGCUAGUUGGUAAGGUAACGGCUUACCAAGGCGACGAUGCGUAGCCGACCUGAGAGGGUGAUCGGCCACACUGGAACUGAGACACGGUCCAGACUCCUACGGGAGGCAGCAGUAGGGAAUCUUCCGCAAUGGGCGAAAGCCUGACGGAGCAACGCCGCGUGAGUGAUGAAGGUCUUCGGAUCGUAAAACUCUGUUAUUAGGGAAGAACAAAUGUGUAAGUAACUAUGUACGUCUUGACGGUACCUAAUCAGAAAGCCACGGCUAACUACGUG
rnacentral:rRNA from 1 species